rnacentral:piRNA from 1 species
UGGAAGGGAUGCAGAUAAAAGAGAGG